rnacentral:rRNA from 1 species
GAUUGAACGCUGGCGGCAGGCCUAACACAUGCAAGUCGAGCGGCAGCGGAAAGUAGCUUGCUACUUUGCCGGCGAGCGGCGGACGGGUGAGUAAUGUCUGGGAAACUGCCUGAUGGAGGGGGAUAACUACUGGAAACGGUAGCUAAUACCGCAUAACGUCGCAAGACCAAAGAGGGGGACCUUCGGGCCUCUUGCCAUCAGAUGUGCCCAGAUGGGAUUAGCUAGUAGGUGGGGUAAUGGCUCACCUAGGCGACGAUCCCUAGCUGGUCUGAGAGGAUGACCAGCCACACUGGAACUGAGACACGGUCCAGACUCCUACGGGAGGCAGCAGUGGGGAAUAUUGCACAAUGGGCGCAAGCCUGAUGCAGCCAUGCCGCGUGUAUGAAGAAGGCCUUCGGGUUGUAAAGUACUUUCAGCGAGGAGGAAGGCGUGRAACUUAAUACGUUUCACGAUUGACGUUACUCGCAGAAGAAGCACCGGCUAACUCC